UUAGAAAACUGGAAUUACAGGAAUGUACCACCAUGCCUGUUUAUGUGGUAUCCAAUGCUUCAAAUAUGUCAAGCAAGCACUCUGCAAACAUAACUAUAUCCCCAAUCCUCAAAUUGGAAUUUAAUGUAAGAAUAUAAAAGCAGCUUCUGACACUUUUAAAAAAAUAUUUACUUAUAUUUAUAUUGUGUGUAUGCAUGUUUUACAUGCACUUAUGUCUGUGUACCACAUGCAUGGAGUGUUCACAGAGACCCAAAGGCAUCAAAUCUCUUAGAACUAGAGUUAUGGAUGUUUGUGAGCCACGAUGUGGGUGCUGGUAAUUGAACACAGAUCUUCUUAACCUCUGAGCUGUCUCUCUAGUCCACGAGACAUAGGUUUUUAUAAUGUGAAUAAACAUUUUAGGACAUGGAGAUGCACUAUUAAAUAUGGUGGGCCUAGUGGAUUUUAUUUCAACCUAGAUUUUCUUCAUUUGCUGUAGGCUUUUUACCAAGAGCUUGUGCUCUAAGCCUGUCAGUGUCACCUUCCCAUAACCUCUAUUAAAGUUUUACUUGACAACAAAAGCUUCCCAUAUUUGGAGGACAGACAGAAAAGGCAAUGUGACUGCAGCCAUUGUCAGGACAGCAUCUGCUCCGAGAACCUCAAAAGAAGGAAGAGGGCAGUCAGCCAGAUGUCCAUGAGUCCUGCAAGGGGAAAAUUAUGUUGAGAUCCUAUUCCAUAGUCAUACUUUCCCAGAGGACUGCCAUUUUCUGACCUACCUUGUCAAUGUGGGAAUUCGAUUUGGGGACAUGGUCAAAUGCCAUUCUGUUGUGAAUUUGUCUUGGCAAAAUUUAUGAAGAAAUUUUCAUCUACAACUUGAUUUUUGCUCCCAGCUUUCCAUCCAAACUGUUGGGAUAUGCUUGUGCAAGUUGUUCAGUGCUAAAGUACUUACCUGGCGUGCUUGAGGCCCUGCCUUUUGCCCUAGCACUUUAGAAAAUCCACAUCAUCUCAUUAAAAAGAACCUAGACAAGGAAAUAUGUAACUAAGUUUUAUGGUGGAUUCGACAUCCUUCCAAGAGCAGAACCCUCUCAUCAGGUGGCUGAUUGAACAUUGUGUUUACAUCUUGCAAAAUUCUCCAUUUCUCUCACAUGAGUAAGCAACAGUGAAGGUCAUUAACAACAAAUUCAGUGAUAUCAGCAUUCAAGGUCACCAUGGACAUUUGAGAGUCAGUGACAUUCAAACAUUGGAUUUAUUAGUAAGAACUCAGGCUUUGCUCAGGCUUUACACUCUCCAUGCUGCCACUUUCCAUAAUGUUUCUAUUUCUAUCAUGGCUUUCUCUCGCUGUGUAAACCAGCCCUUAUUAACUCAAGGCUCAUUCAUUCAUUCAUUCAUUUGCUUGGCAAAGACUAUUUUAAAAGAAGUUUGAGCUGUCCAGGAACUAAGGAUUUAAAUUUUUUUUUGGACCACGUUGUCCUCAGUCUCUAAAGGCUGUAACAGAAAAUACCAAAAUUUAUUGAACCAGUAAAAGGAAGUUGACAAUUUUAAGGAGUGUGAUAGAGGGUGAAAGGAAAAAAAGAGAGGAGGAAAGAUGGGAAUAUAUCUUCACAUGAAUAGAACAGUAUGCAUCAAACAUUUGGGGUGGGUGAAGGAUACACAAUUUGUAGGUUUGUGUGUCAAUCUUGGAUUGAAGAUGGUCCAAGAGCAAGGGCAGUUUGUGAAGAGCAUGUCCAAGGAAUGGAUGGAGUUCUGGGAAUGCAAAACAUUAUAGAAAAACAAAGUCAGGAAA